rnacentral:rRNA from 1 species
CUUAACUGUGAGAAUGCGUUUGAAACUGUAGGGCUUGAGUACAACAGAGGAGAGCGGAAUUCCUGGUGUAGUGGUGAAAUACGUAGGGAUCAGGAAGAACACCAGUGGCGAAGGCGGCUCUCUGGGUUGAUACUGACGCUCAGGUACGAAAGCUAGGGGAGCGAACGGGAUUAGAUACCCCGGUAGUCCUAGCAGUAAACGAUGGAUACUAGGUGUUGGGGGUUCGAAUCCCUCAGUGCCGCAGUUAACGCAGUAAGUAUCCCGCCUGGGGAUUACGGUCGCAAGACUGAAACUCAAAGGAAUUGACGGGGGCCCGCACAAGCGGUGGAGCAUGUGGUUUAAUUCGAUGCAACGCGAAGAACCUUACCGAGAUUUGACAUCCCGUGACCAUCUAUGAAAGUAGAGUUUACCUCUUUGAGGUACAC